CAGCAGCCGCGGUAAUACAGAGGGUGCGAGCGUUAAUCGGAUUUACUGGGCGUAAAGCGUGCGUAGGCGGCUAAUUGAGUCGGAUGUGAAAUCCCCGAGCUUAACUUGGGAAUUGCAUUCGAUACUGGUUAGCUAGAGUGUGGGAGAGGAUGGUAGAAUUCCAGGUGUAGCGGUGAAAUGCGUAGAGAUCUGGAGGAAUACCGAUGGCGAAGGCAGCCAUCUGGCCUAACACUGACGCUGAGGUACGAAAGCAUGGGGAGCAAACAGGAUUAGAUACCCCCGUAGUCCCUGUCUCUUAUAA
rnacentral:rRNA from 1 species